rnacentral:lncRNA from 1 species
AAGAAAAAUGGUAAAAAGGUAUGUGAAUUGAUAAUAGAUAAUGUCUACAGCCUCACUAGAUAUCCUGGGAGAUGGUGGACGGACCGAAUCUGUAGGGAACCCUACCGGGAACGUAGUCUCUCAUAUCGGACGGGGUAUGAAGACUUUAUGUGUUUUGGUGCCCAUAUUGGAUGGGGUAUAGGGACGACCCGUUUCACCCUCAUACCGGACGGGG